AGGGGUGUAGCUCAGUUGGUAGAGCAGCGGUCUCCAAAACCGCGUGCCGUGGGUUCAAGUCCUACCACCCCUGCCA
rnacentral:tRNA from 1 species